GAGAUUGCUAGGAGUGAGCAGGCUGUAGUAGUGUCCUGGGGCUUAGGACUGAGACUUCAGCCUGGUAAUGGUCUUCUAAAGCAGGAAAGACCCCAGAUAGGAAGGCCUGAGAGGAGACACAACAACAUAGAUCGGAGACUUCUUUCUUUUUAAAAGGAACACCAAAAAAGCUAUGAGCCAGGUCAGGAAAUGAAGUAGUUUUUACAGUCGGUCAAUGUUUCUGCUGAUUCAUGAGGAAAUUAAGGAAGGAAAGAGCUGAUCACAGAUGCAGGGAUACUUUUGAACAGGUGCAAUCAAAUAGUUUAAUGUCUAAAUGCUAAAUAGCAAAUACCCAAAGUCAAAGAUGGAACAUAGCCAAACUCCAGCCUGGCCUCCUUAUUCCUGUGACAGUGGAUUCUCUGUGAGGGGAUGUAUAAACAAAACACUGGCAUGAACACCUCAGCUGUCAGAUGAUGUCUGUGCUUGGUGUGUUUCUUCAAGAGCCACCAUCAAUUGCUAUUCCCUUCUGGGUGCAUUUGGUGAAGGCCAGAUUUCACUACCACAAGGACCUAAUUGGUGACUCGCCCCACCCCUAUUCUUU